CGCUUGGCUAAUUUUUAUUUUAUUAUUUUUUUUAUAGAGACAAGGUCUCACUAUGUUGCCCAGGCUGGUCUCAAAGUCCUAAGCUUACGCAAUCCUCCCACCUCAGCCUCCCAAAGUGUGGGGAUUACAGGCAUGAGCCACCACACUUAGCCAAUCAUCAAAUCUUUAAACAAUCACUGUUUUCUCCUAUUUUCCUAUUUUGCCCUAUCAGAAAAAACUUAAUAUUUAUAGACAAAAGAAAAAAAGUACAACACAAAGAAAAAAAUUUAUAGACAUUUCUCCAUUUAUUUCAACUUUCUCUUCAUUAGAUGUUAACAAAAUAACAUUUUUCAUGUUAAUUACUAUAAUUUAAAAAAAUAAAUUCCAAGUUGCCAGGGGAAAAAUCUCAUUACUCUUCCAUGCUUUGGCAAACCUUCUUAUGCUUCCAUCUAUACUCUGGGCUUUGAAUCAAGUAAAUGAAAUCUUGGCUGGAAAAGACAUACAUUAUUAAAUAAUUUAGGAUACUGACCCUUUCUAAUGCAAAAGGAAGAGAAUGUCAAUACUAUAUGUUCUGAAUUUUUUUAAUUAGCCCGCAAGAUUUUACAGUUUAAGUUACUUCUUUUUUUUUUUUUUUUUUUUUUUUUUUGAGACAGAGUCUUGCUCUGUCAUCCAGGCUGGAGUACAGUGACGCGAUCUCAGCUCACUGCAACCCCAGCCUCCCAGGUUCAAGCCAUUCCCCUGCCUCAGCCUCCUAAGUAGCUGGGACUACAGGUAUGCACCACCAUGCCUACCUAAUUUUUUGUAUUUUUAGUGAAGACGAGGUUUCACCCUGCUGACCAGGCUAGUCUCGAACUCCUGACCUCAGGUUAUCUGCCUGCCUUGGCCUCCCAAAGUGCUGGGACUACAGGCAGGAGCCACCACACCUGGCCAUACAUUUUAAGUUACUCCUGAUCUACAUGGUUAUUUUAUUAUCUAAAAAGGACUUUAAAGUGUUACUAACAUUUUAAAGCAACAUAUCAAAAAAAGUUUUAAUCUUUAUCACUAACUAAAACCUACGGAACUAAGAGAAAGGAGUGUUAAUCAAAAACUUAGCCAGUCUUUCCAUCCACUAUAGUAGUUACUGUAUACGAACAAUUACCCGAGAUUUAUCCAACGUUCAUUCAACAAGCAUUUAUUUAGUACUUACAUGUCCCAAGCACUAUACUCUGCCAUGGAGAGGCAAUAAUGAGCAUGACAGACAUGGUACCUGAAUGCAGGAAUCUUAGAGACUAUGUCCCUCCAUGCCACCACUUUAAGCUCAAAAGAAGCAUAAAAGUAUAACCCUUUCCAAAUAGCAGUAUGAUGGCUAUGUUUUUAUAAAUAAUCUAGAUGGCUAAAGGUUCAACCCAAGAUCCUUUGGGAACUUCUGGGCAGCAAUACAAGGACAGAGGCCACUAGGAAGCUGGCUCUUUUCUGGGACUAUGGAAGCCAGCCUAGGGAAGGCCACACCAGAUCCCAUCUAAAUAUUUUGGCCAGCCUAUGCUCCAAGGGAAAAUCUCCCUCUGCAAGACUUUGGAUCAGAAACAGAUCCAUAAAUAACCUCCAUCAGUGGCAGACUUAAGAGGCUGUGUAUGUAAAAUAAGUUGCAGAAAUUCCAUUAUUCAAACAGACAACACCAUGUUUCCAGUCACCUCAAAGCCAUGAACUCACCAAGGUAACAAGAUGCUGAAAAUUUAUACCAUCAGAAUUAUAAUCCAUUAAACAAACAACUAGAUUUAAUGAUCUUUCCCAAAUAGUAAGUCUGAAAUUUGUUUUUUUACACUGAAUCUUAACUUUCCUUAGUGAUAUCUUUUAAAGAACUUAGAAACAAUUUCAGUUUUAUGCAAAGAUACAGCUAAAGACAAAAUUCAAGUUCAGUAUGAAAAAAGAGGUAUCACGCACCUUCACCUACCCCAAAACCAUCAAUGGUUUCUCAAUACCUACAUUAAAAGGGUAAAAAUUCUUUGAUUAGGCACUCCAAGUCCUAGACAAGUCAAUUCCAACCUAAAUUUUCAAAUCCAUUUCUCUGUACACCACUCCCCAUAUACACCACUCCAGGGAAACUGAACUAUUCUUUCUUAUCUGAAUAUACUCUUCACUUCAGAUUUUUCUUUUUCUUUACUUUUCCUUUUUUUUUUUUUUUUUUUUUUUUUUGAGAUGGGUUCUCACUGUCACCCAAGCUGAAGUGCAGUGGUGUGAUCUCAGCUCACUGCAGCCUCGACCUCCCAGGCUCAAGCUAUCCUCCCCGCUCAGCCUCCUGAGUAGCUGGGACUACAGGCACCCACCCAUGGUCAGUUAGUUUUUGUAUUUUUUGUAGACGGGGUAACACCAUGUUGCCCAGACUGGUCACAAACUCCUAGACUCAAGUAGUCGGCCUGCCUCGGCUGCCCAAAAUGCUGAGAUUACAAGCAUGAGCCACUGUACCUAGACAUAUUUUAUUUUUUU
rnacentral:lncRNA from 10 species